rnacentral:rRNA from 1 species
CCCUAUUAUUUUAGGAUGUUAAUUUUUGUGCUUGAGUAGUAUUAGUUAUGUUCUUGAAACUUAAAGAAUUUGGCGGUAUCUUAUUCUGUUCAGAGGAAUCUGUCUCGUUAUCGAUAGUCCGCGUUGGACCUUACUUAGUUGCUAUGGUUUGUAUACCGCCGUUUAUUGAUUAUGUUUUUAGGGUUUUAAUUUUCUGGUUCCUUUAUUUCGGUUUAUUUCAGGUCAAGGUGCAGCUUGUUUCUAAGUGUAUUGAUGGAUUACAUUGGUCUUUGUUGUUUGGAUUGUUGGUUGGAUUAAUUGACAUGAAAUUGGAUUUGAUUGUAAUGUUUUGUAGAUUGUUUAUAUGAUAUUAGUUCUAAGAUAUGUACACAUCGCCCGUCGCUCUCGUUUUUGUUGAUGAGAUAAGUC